UACGUAGGGACCAAGCGUUGUUCGGAUUUACUGGGCGUAAAGGGCGCGUAGGCGGCGCAACAAGUCACUUGUGAAAUCUCCGGGCUUAACCCGGAGCGGCCAAGUGAUACUGUCGUGCUAGAGUGCGGAAGAGGCGAGUGGAAUUCCUGGUGUAGCGGUGAAAUGCGCAGAUAUCAGGAGGAACACCGAUUGCGAAGGCAGCUCGCUGGAACGUCACUGA
rnacentral:rRNA from 1 species